CUGCUGCUGGAUGGGGUUUUCUCUUUUCAAGAUGUUCCUCUGAUUGAUGUUUUCACAGGAGCUUUCUAGGCCUCAUUUGAGGAUAAUUCCAAGAAUUUGGAAGUAGUUGGAAAAGAGUGAGGAAAGAAGGUGAACCUGAUCCAUUUCUAGUAAUUCUGAACUUCUCUUGCAACACCGUUCUGGGGGAAAGCUGGUGAAAGGAUAAAGAUGCAGAGGAACAAGUGUUGUAAACCCCCCUGCCUCCCUGACAAAGCAAACCUUUCUGCAAUCCCAGUAAAUCUCUUGGAAAAUCUGUGGGAUCAUAAGGUUUCCCAGGAAAGGAAAAGUAAGGACAGAGAUGAGGAAAGAGGCUUCCAAUUAAUGAUUUGAUGGAUGAUGAGGAAGCCAGGCCUGCUGAGGAGGAAGAUGAGGAGGUGUGGGAGGAUGGAGACAGCGGCCACCAAAGGCUGGGGAAGGCACAGAUCCAGAUGCUGGGAUUGCCUCUGACAACAUGUGCUGAGCUCUCCCUGCAGGGAACUGUCAGGCCUUAACAGCUGUGAGGUUGUGUUCCUCUCAGUGGGGAACUGGAAAUAAUUAUUAAUUAAUUAAUUAAGUGCAGAAAUGUUUUCUGAACCUUUCUCCUUUCCUGGUAGAUCUUCUCUCUCUGCCUCUGAAUUUACAGCUGUUCCCUGGUGUCAUUGGCCCUGCCUGAAUUCCUUGCAGCUCCUCACUGGGAAAACCUGGG